rnacentral:lncRNA from 1 species
CAGCCACAGCCACAGCAAUGUGGGAUCCAAGCCACGUCUGUGACCUACACCACAGCCCACGGCAACGCUGGAUCCUCAACCCAUUGAGCGAGGCCAGGGAUCGAACCUGCCUCUUCAGGGUUACCAGUCAGGUUCAUUUCCACUGAGCCACGACAGGAACUCCCCCUCUGCUGUAAAUUCACAGCAUUGACACCUCACUCGAGGCCCUUGGAACAUGCUUGUCCAUGUCCAUGAAGAAGAGUAUUGAACUUAGAAACCUGGGUUCAUCCUGGCACAGCCACUGGCUAUCUCUAUGACAUUGGGCACAUCCUCUAACUGCCUUGGGCUUCAGUGUCCUUACCUGGUAAGGACUCCUUACCAGGAGUCGUAAGGGUUACCUGACAGCGUACACAGAAAUCAACUUUGCCAAUGGAAAUACAAUCACAUUUCUCGCUUUCUGCUACCUUUCCUACUUGUCUCAGAGCUCUUGGAGGGAAGGACCGUGUCCUCAUCAUUUUUUUAUGCUACAAUUACUACUAUUGCAUUACCAUUCGCUCGUCAUCAUUAACAUAUUGCCAAUAAUAGUUAAUGUGUGUGGAGCAUGUAGAAUCAUGUCAGGCACCUUUCUAAGUACUCGAUAUGGAUUAAUUAAUUCUUCCAAUAACCCUAAGAGGUCCUGUAACCCUAAGAGGUCCUGUUAUUAGCCUACUUUAUGGAGAAAACUAUGUAUUUCUCAGAGCCUCCAAAGAAUGAGCCAAUGAAUGAAGGACUGAAUGAGACAGAAACUGCUAGCAACACCUACCAGGUGAUUAUUUUUCUCUCUUGCUUCUCUGCCCAAACUUGUCUUUCUUUUGAUCCCCUGAGGCAAAUGCAAAAUUAGGAAAAAGUCUUGCGUCAACUGAGACUGUGAAUGAUGAGUGGUCUCCUUGGGUCUUCAUUUAGGUCGGCUUCUCAUGAGGUGAGUGCCAGGAGGACACAGACUGUGCCUGUCUUGUUCUCUGCUGUUGCCACAGGGCCUGGAACAAUGUCUCGUGAUCAGUCCAUGUUCAUUGAAUAGGUGGACUGAGUGGCUUAGAAACAGCGCCUUCCCUGGCACCGAUAGAACAGAAACUGCUGACCACAGAGCCGGUCUUGUGUCUCGCUUUCCCAGGCAGUACUACGAGAUGCUCUACAACACGGCCGAUGAGCUCCUGAACCUGGUGGUGGACCAGGGCGUGAAGUACACGGAGCUGGAGUACAUCCACGCCCUGACCUUGCUGCACCGCAGCCAGACGGGGGUGGGAGACCAGACCACCCAGAACAUGCGGCUUCAGCGGCUCAAGGAGAUCAUCUGCGAGCAGGCGGCCAUCAAGCAAGCCACCAAGGAUAAGAAGAUAACUACAGUGUAACCGCCGCCCCGUGGAAGGGGGACAGGGGCACGGCUUGUUUUUGUCUCCUUAGUCAUACUCCUUUCUGGCUGUGUUAUUGGGUGUAGUCUGAGCUGACUUAGUUUUCUCGACACGGAUGCUCAAGUGGAGAGAAGGUAGAAGGAUUUUUUUUUUUUUUUUUCCGCUUUGGUUUUGGCUUUUCAUAUAAACUCUCAAGGGAAUUUGCAGUACAGAAUGUUGGGAUCGACCGUUUAUUGGAAUGCCGUCCAUUGCAAAGGGUCCGGGGGUGGGAUGGGAAGGAAGGUUGUAUGACAUUGGACUCAGAACAAGAUGCAUGCACGAUUACUAAUGCCCAGCCAUUUCGGAUAAGUAUAGAUUGUUGCCUAUGUAAACCUCUCAAUAGGGUUCUAUUACAUAAACAGUAGGGUUUUUAUGCUCUUGACCUUGUCCAUUGACAGUUCAGUGAAGCAAGUGCAUGUGCAUUGCUUUCUGUCACCAGGGCCCAUGGCUUCUCAGCUGGCGGUAGUUUUCAGCAAAUUUCCCCUUUGGGGCUGGGGGGAGGAAGUCCUCUUAUGUCAGACCUUGGGAGAGUCUUGUAUGCAGUAGCCUGGACACAGCUUAUGGAUUGGUUUGAUGCCUUUUUGUUUUUAUUUCUACUGUCUCAAAACUGAGAACCAGGAAAUGAAUGAUGAAAAUGCAAGAACAAAAGGUAAUUCAACCCUCUUCCUGAUUUUUUCCUCUACUCUCCAAGAGAAAAUGAUUGUUAGAGAAUUUUUAAUCUCACUGGAAAGAUUGUCUGGGUGUGACUGGUUCUUAAAUGCUCACCCUCCUUAUAAGCCCCAGGGUCUUUUUUUCUUUUUUUUUUCUUUUUGUCUGUUUCUUUCUUGCAUGUGUGUGUGUACUUUUUUUUUUUUAACAUAUUUGUUGAAUUAACAUAUAGUUGAUUUACAGUGUUGUACCAAUUUCACCCAAGGUCUUUCUCACCUUAGAAGGUACCCAAACUGGGUGCAGGGAAGGUAAAACCACCACGAUAUCCUUCCUCUGUGCAGCCACCAGCUGAGGAUGUUUCUGAGGUAUACUGGGCUGGCGUGGGAGCACGCUGCUCCUGGCACAUUUGCCUUCCCCACUGACCCCACAUCUCCAAGCCUUCUUGCUGCCUCUGGCUGUCAUAUCACAGAAGAAAGCAAUGCACUGACUGGGACACAGCUUGCAAACACAGGCAAGGGAGAGCUGAAAGGACUCGGACCAGAUGAGGUCAUGCCUCAUGCUCUGAUGGUCCAGAAUUUCGCACCUGUUUGUUCAACUUAGGUCUUGGUGGGAAAAGCAGAAAAUUAAAAAAUGUUUCGAGAAGCGUAGGUGUCGUGUAUUGUUUUUCUUGUGUUUAUUCAGCAAACAUUCCCUGAGAGCCUUACCCAAUGCUGCUGGACGUGGGAGCAGAAAUAAGAUAAUGAGAACCCUCUUUCCCCCUACAUCGAAGACAGCAUGGGAUCUGGACUCUGACCCAGAUCCCAAGAGGUGUGCACUUGGGGCUGGGUUGGAAAUCAAGCCAGUGGGGUAGCUGUGUAGGCAGCUGGAGGACAGUCUUCCAGGGGGUUCUGGAAGGAAUGUUGUAAAUCUAUGUGGCGUCAGAGGCCCAGGUGGGAAGAAGCUGAAUCUGUGUGGGAGACCAUCAUGGAAAAAUGUCCUAAGCAGCAUUGCUGGAGGUGAUCUCCCUGGAAGUGGGGGCGGGAGGCGGGAGACAGGGGGAGGUCAGUGCUGAUCGCCGUGGCCGUGGCCUGUGCCCAGAGCUUCCGUGCCUUGCCCCUGCCCUCUUCUGUCCUCCCUAGAAAAACAACCUUGGAGUGGUGACAGGGAGGCCAGAAGAGCCAGGGGUGGGCUGGGGGAAUUUAUAGGAGCAUUUUAUUGGCUCUGGAAAGGGAUGUGGGUUUUGACAGUCAAAGGCCAAGAUCACUGAGAACCAGCGGACAAAUGGUGAACAUGCUGCUUCAAGAGAUCAUUUCGGAAAGUAGACUCCCCGCUUUGCUUAUAGUAAUGACGGGAUUGAAAAAUGGUGAUUCUGCACAGAAAAAACAAUCUAGAGUUCUUUUUCCAAGACCUUCAAGGCCCACAUUUCUAUGCAAGAUGGUACAUCCGUCAUUAUUCGCCAACUGAUCAAGAAUAGCCAUUGCCACAGUCCGUGGGUGGUCAGGUGGAUGGAGAUGGCACAGCCACCUCAGGACCUGCCUUCCCUGGGGACACAGUGAGGAUUUCUUCUUGUUAUGGUCCUAGUUUGGGGAUAUUCUGUGUGACUGCUUGUGUGCUGCUCGAAGCCGUGACCGGAAAUCGCUAGAGAGCGCCAGACCCCCCGCGGGUGGAGGCCAGCAUGUGCUCACACCGAUAUGUAACCACAGGAGUUCAUUUCCAGCCAUGAAGACCACUCCCCAAAGGUCCUGUUGCAGCUUAAAGGGUCAGGAAAAUAGGCCUCCCCAGAAAGGGCACUAAAACAAAGCAAACUCUUGUCUUUCUCUCCUACGAGGUGACAAGGGGGAUCAACAGGUGUAAAACACGACUGUCACAGCACCACGGAGAAGGCGCACGAGGAAGCGUCCUGAGGUGGACAACAGACAGGAGCAGGAGGAGGGAGGACUGUGGGGCGAGGUCCAGCCUGGUCAUCAGAGAACUAGCUCCCCGAGCUCCAGCAACCGAGAGAGCUCACUUCCCUCUGUGUCACUGUCAUCUACUCUCUGGUAAAGUACCACACGUUGUCCCAUUCUGUACUCACAGCAACCGUGUCACCCAUACUACUUUCUUUCCUUGUAUAUACAGGGGAUCAGAAAAUGCUAAUGGCGUCUCUCCCAACUUAGCACCCCUUGGAAUAAACUCCGCGAAGCAGAGGUACUCAUUCAAAGGAUCGGAUCCAGAGCUUGAGAGGUUUUUGUAAAUCAAGUUGUGUUCCCAGAACUGCUGAUUGUGGUUUCUUCUUCUGCAGGGUUUUGUUACUUUUAAUUCUCUUAUUAUCCCUUGUCACUGGACCUCUUAAUUUAUAAAUAGUAUUCUGAUACUGUGCCCUUUCACCCCAGGAGCCAUUCAUUGAUACCUGUGCUAUGGAUGCAGUUUCUCUCAGGGACGUUCACCCUAGGACCGUGCUUUUAUGCCACAUUUACAAUGGGGCUUUUUAAUCUUAUUGCCCGAGUGGAACGUUUCCUUCCCGCAUACGAUUACAUCUCUGCUGAUUCACAAGGAGCAAGGUUAUAUGUUCCUCAUGCAGCCCUUGGCCGAAGAAGACCUGCUUCCAGGCUAUGAAAGACAAGAUCAUGUUGGAGUGGCCAGGUCAGCUCAAGUUCUGACCUGAGGAUCAACCCUAGGAUCAGACCUAAGCUCCCACAGUCCAUACCCUUGAGACAAUCAGUCAUGAAGAAUCUGGUGGGGACCCCCCCCCACUUGGAAUUACUGCCCUCUGUAGAGUGACCUCGUUCACAGACCCCCCAGCCUCUCUCCAGAACCUCUCCUUCUUGGCGGAUGCUUUCUCAGCCAGUCAUUAUUUAUGUUUCAGAUAGCUUGAGAAGAAAACCACAAAUACAGCCAAGUUGAAUUGGCAACCAAAGCCUGAUCAUUCUUACUGUCAGGUCAUAUCCAGGAAUGUCUUAGCACCAAGGUAUCCAUUGUCAGUCCAAGAGAUAUAAUUGCCUGUCAUGGCAGUAACAAAUCCUGACACGGAUUCAUGCAAUGGCCAACAAAAGAGACAGUCCCUUGUGACGAGGUGCUGGUACUUCCACUCUGAUGAAGAGUCACGCAACUUCCACUCCGGUCUUGUCCUCUCCAGAGCCCAGAUUACCUAAGGCUACCCUUCAUUAAGGAUUGAGAACUGAAAUCUUCAGCCCAACCCUCCGCUACUCUUUUUGCCUUUCUUGUAAGCCCAGGACUGUAUCUCAUUGUUUGCUGUUCCCUCCUUAACUAGCAAAGUACCUGGAAGUUGAUGGAACAAAUGGAUUCCUGCCUCAGUUCCUAGGAAUGUACCAAGGCCAUUUGCAUUCAGCAGUCUUGCCCUGAGAUAGCGCUGUGGCUGGUUCCCCAGGACCAGGGCACAGAUAUUUCACAGUCAACAGCGGGGGGUUACCAGGGUUUCACACCAAGCCCUCCAUUGGAGGCAGACAUGAUGAGGAGACCAGCAAAGUGGCGGUCCUUCUGGCAGGAUGUGAAAACAAGAAGCGAACUGAUCAACACAAUUUUGCUUGGAAAGCAAAGCAUGUGCAGUAAUACGCACACCUGGGCGCAGCUGUCUUAAUGUGGCAGGGAUGCACAACAAACCGGGCAUCAUUUGGAGGGAGGGUAAUGAGGGACCAAGAGCAAGAAAACAAAGGAUGACUGCGCUCCGCGAAGGUCUCGACUCCCUUCUAAUUAGGCACAGUUGUUCUACAAAGUACGUAAUUAAUAAGCGUGUGACCAGAUGCAAAGUACAGCGGCGGCUCUUCCGGCGCUGGACGUGGUGAUGAAGUGUGCACAGCUGGAGGUAGUUGUUCUAAUUUGGCGGAGGCAGAAGGCCCGCCUGGAGUUUUGAGGAGGUGCAGCGAGAGCCGUACACCUGAAAGCAGCUCAUCCUAUUCCGACUGGGCCGGGGUGUAAUGAGAUGGAGCUAAUUAUCAGGAGUGUAAUGAGAUGCCAAAGCCCCUGGAGUUGAGCUGGAAAUUUCAAAGUGAGCUAAGCUGCAAACCCAAGAGAAGAAUUUCCACCGAUGGAGCCGGGUGUGAGUAGGAGGAAGUGUGCCUGAUUGAAAGACCUGCCUUCACGCCCCUGAGCCGAAGACUUCUGUCUGAAACUGCACAGGAUGCCAGGACCUUCCCCCACCUGGAGCAGGAGUCCCUGGGAACCUGAGAACACCAUGACCUGGAAAAGCUGCACAUGGAUUUCUUUUAAUGUGUAUAUGGUUUAUUUAUGUCCACACAACUGAAAAGAAAUCAAGUCAGGUGCUGUCGCGUGAGUGUCGUGGCCAUUAUAUUCCAUCUCAUUUAGAAAUGUGGCCUCAGAUUGCUGACUUUGCAAAUAGAUACUCCAGGAGGAGAAAAAUUAGCAACCUCCUCAUCUCAAACUUCUUUCAUUACCUACCAGCCACAUUUUCUUUCACGAGGAUUUAUUUACCGCCAGAGAGCAGGAAACCCCUUAAUACCUGUUUUCUGUUCACGGUUUUUAUUUUACAGUUGCUGUUAUUUUAGACACCAUUUAUUGAACACUGAAUAUGUGUGAGAUGCUGUGCUAAAUGCUUUACCAUAGACUUCCAUUUAAUCCACAUGCUGGAGUUCCUCCCAUGGCUCAGCAGUUAACGAAUCUGACUAGCAUCCAUGAGGACCCAGGUUCGAUCCCUGCCCUUGCUCCAUGGGUUAAGGAUCUGGCGUGGCCGUGAGCUGUGGUGUGGGUGACAGCCUCUGUGCGGAUCCUGCAUUACUGUGGCUGUGGCAUAGUCCGACAGCUGUAGCUCCCAUUCAACCCCUAGCCUGGAACCUCCGCCUGCCGCAGAUGCGGCCCUAAAAAGCAAAAAGAAAAAAGAAAAAA